rnacentral:lncRNA from 1 species
GUAUCUAUACAUGUAUUAUGAAAUACUCUAUAACACGAACAUUCUCUAUCUCCUUUCUUAAAUCUUCCAUUGAUUACAUGUAUUUCUAAUUCUCUUGGUGCUUUAUUUUUUCUUUUUGGUAGGAAAUUCAUUCUCUUAUAGAGAAACUCAGAGUUGUGCGAGGCAUAUUUUAUGUAAGUCUUUGAUGUGAAUGUUAACGUUUCUUUAAAAUGUUCAUAUAAUACAAAAUUAUCUUAUAAUCCAAGUUUUCUUUCACCAGUCAGCAAAUUAAAACAUUUCAUUUACUUUUUUUCCUGUGUAGAGAAUGCCAUGUACAUCCCAGAGACUAGCUACAUUGAGAAAAGAAGGUCAGCUGGGGUUCCAGAUCCUCCAGUUGCUCCUGUUACCUGUGCCGUGUCUUUUUACCACUCCUAUGGACUCAGUGGGCCUUUCCGUCUAGGGGCCAUUACCUGAGAGAAUGCUCUUGUCUGCAUUUGUGCCACUGGAAUGACUUCUUGCUGGGAGUUUAUACCCUCCGAGACACCUCGUAUAUGGCCACAGGGGCUAGGAAAGCCCAACUCCUUCCUGAAACUGAGACCAGCUGUGAGGUACAGUGUAUUUUAGAGCUGCCUAGAGGAUCUAACUCAUCCUGGCUCUUGGCUUCUCCUCCACUUUCCUGUGUGGCUUCCCCAUAGCUCUUCUGGUUUUCUUCUUGGAGCACUUCCUUAAUAAAUCACAGCUUGGGAGUUUCCUUUUCAUGGUUUACUUAUGAGGAACCUAACUUAAAAGAAUGGGUUAUACACAAAAUCAAACAUUUUCCCUCUGAAUUUCUUGUUUCAGACUUACCCUCAGUUAAUGAAUAAUAGGCAUUCCAUCUGACCGACUAUAA